rnacentral:rRNA from 1 species
UACGGAGGAUCCGAGCGUUAUCCAGAUUUAUUGGGUUUAAAGGGUGCGCAGGUUGUUUGAUAAGUCAGUGGUGAAAGUCUGUCGCUUAACGGUAGGAUUGCCAUUGAUACUGUUGGACUUGAAUAUGGAUGAGGUAGGCGGAAUGUGUAGUGUAGCGGUGAAAUGCAUAGAUAUUACACAGAACACCGAUUGCGAAGGCAGCUUACUAAUCCAUCAUUGACGCUGAGGCACGAAAGCGUGGGGAUCAAACA